rnacentral:tRNA from 1 species
GCCCCUGUAGUACAGUGGAUAGUACGCAGCCCUGCGGAGGCUGAAACCGGGGUUCGAGUCCUCGCAGGGGCA